GCAACAGCUCAAAUUUGAAAUCUGGCGCAAGCCCGAGUUGUAAUUUGCAGAGGAUGUUUCGGGUGAAGCCACGGUCCAAGUCCCUUGGAACAGGACGUCAUAGAGGGUGAGAACCCCGUACCUGGCCGUCGGUGCCCCCCGCUGUGAAACUCCUUCGACGAGUCGAGUUGUUUGGGAAUGCAGCUCUAAAUUGGUGGUAAAUUCCAUCUAAAGCUAAAUACCGGCCAGAGACCGAUAGCGCACAAGUAGAGUGAUCGAAAGAUGAAAAGCACUUUGAAAAGAGAGUUAAAAAGUACGUGAAAUUGUUGAAAGGGAAGCGCUUGCGGCCAGACUUGCCCGCGGUUGCUCAGCCCGCCUUUUGGCGGGUGCACUCUUCCGCGGUCAGGCCAGCAUCGGUUUGGGCGGCCGGAUAAAGGCGCCGGGAACGUGGCCUCCCCUCGGGGAGGUGUUAUAGCCCGGCGUGCAAUGCGGCCAGCCCGGACCGAGGUUCGCGCUCUGCUAGGAUGCUGGCGUAAUGGCCGUAAGCGGCCCGUCUUGAAACACGGACCAAGGAGUCUAACAUCUAUGCGAGUGUUUGGGUGUCAAACCCGUGCGCGUAAUGAAAGUGAACGGAGGUGGGAACCGCAAGGUGCACCAUCGACCGAUCCUGAUGUCUUCGGAAGGAUUUGAGUAAGAGCAUAGCUGUUGGGACCCGAAAGAUGGUGAACUAUGCGUGAAUAGGGUGAAGCCAGAGGAAACUCUGGUGGAGGCUCGCAGCGGUUCUGACGUGCAAAUCGAUCGUCAA
rnacentral:rRNA from 2 species